AUUCUUUGCCAGACUGCUUGUGUUGGUUUCUGUCUAGAAAUAGGGCCACAUGCUUACACUUCUCAGGCUCAGGUUCAGGCCAAGGAAAAUGUACAUGAGGAGUCAAGAUACACAGCUCACAGAGGGCCUAUCUUUACUCAAAAAUGGAGGGGAGUCAAGGAUGAUCCUAAAGCACAGAUAAAUCAGGAGUAGAAUGCAAAACAUACAAAUAAGAAAUAAUGAAACUUAACGUGGUAGUGAGCAGUUUUGAGCUAUGUCUGUGUGCAGUCCCCAGCCUUGACUAUACUCACACCAGUCUGCACUGGAAGCUCAGUCAGUUUUGGCAGUGCCUCAAGUCUUGCUCCUCCUUGAUUUCUCCCACCUAGAGUCUCUGAUGCACAAUAAAUUGAUUCGAAGAAAAGGUAUAAUCUUUUUGGGUUUCAUCAUUUUCCUGACCAAAGUUAAUAGUAAAGUAAAUGGGUCAGUGUUCAAACAGCCAAGGCCAUCUUGAAUCCUUCACAUUACACUCAGCACGCAGAGGGAUUGAGCCCGCCUUGCCUCACUUCACCCCUAACAACCCUGAGUGGGAUUUGCCCCUUCAUUUUGGGAAUAGGGGCAGAGCCGCCGUCUUGCCACCUCGUACGUAAGGUGCUUAUCUGGAAGACUUGGGCUGAGGAUGCACUUUUUGUGGGACAGAGUUCCAGCGUGUGUACCGCCCUCACCUGGCCGGACCAUCUCUUCCCCACCUGUGGGCUUAGAUCCUGUGGCCACUACCAGUCCAGGGAUCUUGUGUUAAGCUGAGUCUCUGAUCUGACGCUAUGGGAAAAGAAGCUGGGACAACUUCGAUGGUGUGAGCACCGAACACCUUAAAAUGGAGUUACUGAAAGAAACCCAUAGGAAGUGAGUUGGAGAGCCUUGCAGGGCGCCACCCUUGGUAUGAGUGGUAGUGUAACUGAGU